rnacentral:SRP_RNA from 1 species
UGGUGAACUAGGCCGGAGGGCUGGGCGUCCUCUGUAAUCCCAAACCGUCCUUAUGGGGAGGCCGAAGUCUGGGGGGCGAUUUAUCAACUAUGUGUUGGUCUAGGUCUUCGACAAUGAGUUCUCGUCUCACCGGGUCACAAUGGAUGUGAACCGGGUCAGGCCCUGACGGGAGCAGCCCUAAGCAUCCUGCGUGAUGCUGGUGAGGUGGCGGGAAUGAGAAGAGGACCUAGGUAGCCAGCAUGUGGUUGAUAUCUCCACCCCCAGACGCGUUCACCG